GGAACCACAAACAAGAAAAGCAAAGCAAGGCACCACAUUUCCUUCCUGCAGAGCGUGCUGCAACAUGGCAAGGGAGCAGCCACCCACAUCAGGACAUGCCAGUCCCACUGAGCUACUGCUUUUCUCAGGACAAACUAGCAAGAAGCAGACCUAUCAAUGCAAUGGUGUCCCAGCUCCCAUUUUCCAGUACCAAGAAGAGUACAUGGGAGCUAAAGGGAAGCCUCAGCCUGAAAUUCAACAUAGGAGAGGGAGCUGCAGAUUGCAACACUGAAGCUUCUAUACUUGGUGCUAGAGUUUUAGCUAGCUCAGAACAACCCAGCUAUACCAUGGGUAUAGCGUUCAGCUCCAACUCAGAGAUUAUUAGGAUCAUCUUCCACCUAAGAAUUGUGAUGCAGAAAAGGUGCAGGGAUUGGAAAGAAGAAUAUUCCAAUUAAAACUAGGAAUUGUAGACUACAAAGAGAGACUGUGAAAUGGUGACGAGCGAGUAGAGGAAAGACAAGCAGACACUGUCAAAUAAGCAGCAGGAAUGCAAAGAGAUGGAGAUUUUAAUAAGAAAAUACAUACUCACUAAAGCUAGUCAGAAACUAUUAUAGUUUUCUCUGGAAACACUUUUACAGCGUUAUGAAUUACUAGGGGCUUGGGUUUGGGUUUUUUUCCUUAGAGACUUUCAUCAAACACAGAAAUGUUUUCAGUACAAACAGGCAAAAUAUAUUUUUGAGAUUUUUUUCUAUUUAUUUUAUUUUUUAUUUUAGAAAGUACAAAGGAAAAUAUUAACUUCUCUGAUUAGAAUCACAUCUGCCACUGAAUCUUCCACUGCACAAAGUUGCAGUCACCUUCUAGAGUAAUAUGCAAAACAAAUGGCAGCCUGGGGCAGCUUGGCUGUUGUCAAACCAUUAUCUUUCCAACACUGUUAUUUCACAUUUAAUGGUAAGAGUGUUACACACUCUUAACAUUCCUUGGGAGAGAAAACACACCACAAGCAGAUUAUUACAGAGAAAUAACUUCGGAUCUAACAAGGUAAUUCCUGAGGUCUACAAAGCUACAAAUAUGAGAUUAACCUCCUUCCUUCCAUUCUUUUCCUCCACCCCAAUUCUCAGCUUCCACUUGUGUGUUCUGCAGCCAUUAGUGAAAUCUUUCUUCCUAUGGUACUGCCAAAUGAGCUCCUCUAUACACAGCAGCAAGGGCAAAUAAUCCAUCACCUUGCCUCUCUGCAACUCGUGAAAUACUCAGCACCAGACAGUCUUACAAUACAAAAUGCUGACUUCUCAUAUUUUCCUAAUGUAAGGCUGCAGAUAGAGACAGUUAUAUAAAGAUUUCAAUGAUUCCUCUGGAAUAUUUGCUAAAGAGCUGUUCUGUGAGAGAGAAAUCAGCAAAACCCAGGUCCCAAAACACUGGUUUAUCAAAAGCCCCAAUUUGUAAUGGUUACCAGACAUGCAAACAGCUAUUGUCUGGAGUAGGGGGGGAUACAUGAAGCCAGUGUCUAGCUUCAGCUAGAGUUUUCUGCCUCCACUCCCUGUUCUCUGCUCCUCUUCUAGCAUUAGCUUGAUUUAAGAUUGUGCCAUUAAGACACAGGAGCCUAAGGGGAUGCCCAGAGCAAAUAUAUAGAUUGUUCUUGCAGUUUUUCAGGAUCAUACACCAGUGAUGUGCUUCCCAUCUUUGCCUAUAGGACCCUUUAUGAACUGGUUGCCAGGAUUGUUCCUGCAGAGAUUUUUUGAUGGCAGUUUAUUCCUCUCAUGUGUAAGUCAUCAACUGGAGAAGCGAUGUCAUGCCAUUCUCAAAAUGCUUGUGUUUCCAGAAAGGAGUGUGGCAGAGGCUACAAGCAAUGUCUAUGGGGAGGAGGAGGGAGAGGAGAGCAGAAUUGCUUCCAUACAACUCAGCCUUCCUCUCUUCAGAUGAAGUAGCA